GUUUCCGUAGGUGAACCUGCGGAAGGAUCAUUCAUAAUAAAGUGUUUUAUGGCACUUUUUAAAAAUCCAUAUCCACCUUGUGUGCAAUGUUAGAUCUCGUCAAUCUUGGCGAGAUUUUUAUACAUCAACUCAUUCUGUAACUAAUUUGUCUGAAAAAUAUUAUGAAUACUUAAUUCAAAAUACAACUUUCAACAACGGAUCUCUUGGCUCUC
rnacentral:misc_RNA from 1 species